GUUCAUUUGAGUUGUUGAAAGAUUCAGAGGCCUUGCCACCAAAAUAAAAACUCUGGAUUAAGAACUCUCCAUCAGGACCCACUCCUUUCUUCACCUCGCCUCAAAGGUUUCUCUAGCUUGGGAAGGCCUGAGGAGUGACCCCGCAUCAACAGCAAGCUCCAGCCCGCAAGCUCUGGAGCUCGGGACAUGCCCAGACUUGUCUCCACGUGCCCAGCUGUAACCACAGGGCUUGGUCCUGUGAACCACACAAAGGAAGCUCACCAUUCAUCUUUGUCCUGCUCAACAUUAAUUGAAGAGAGUAUGCUUUGCUCUGAGGAGGAAUACUGGGCAAAACUCUGCUGUCCCAUCAUUACUGUCUUGUCUUCUUGGUCAUCAGCCAUACUGUGAGACUUAAGACAGCCGAAGUUCUCCUAGUGCUCAAAUACCUAGCAACACAGCUUGCCAGUCUCCAGUUCAGGUCAUGUUUGUGUGCAAGAAUAACUGUUUUCCUAAAAAAAAAUCACUGAGAGUAUAUCUUUAUUCUUCCUUUCCUGAAAUUUAAAUAAUCUUGUCAUAAGAUUAAUGGGCCCACUUUUUGAAGUGUGAGUUUUUAAUGAGUUUCAUUGUUGUCAGCCAAAUAGCUUUAUGUUAGAAAUUGUAGCAGACAGAAAGGUAGGUGAGAGGAAAGUACCCCAAUCUGUAUUUCUCUUUUGGAUUUCCUGUACUGUUUUUACCUCACUGAUAGAUAACAAAAUUAUAGCUGAGAUUAUAUAGCUAUGUAACAUGUUUUGUAAAAACAAUGGACAUAAAAAGGGAAAAGUUAAAUUUCAUUAUUUCAAUUUUCAGAAAAUUCUGUUUCUAACUGCAUAAAUGUAGUUAUUUAAGUUCUUAAUUUAUGGGACCUAUAUGAAAGGUCAAUUCAUUGCAACACAGGUUUUUGGAGUACUAAAGAACCCAUAGUAACGAUAUGUGGAAAUCCAAGAAAAAAAAAUCAAAACAAAACUUGACAAUUUACCCAUUGUUAGGGUUACGUGAUGCUUUGGCUGGGUUACAAUGUGCUCAGACCAUCAACAUAUCUCCUGUGUUACAGUGAAUAAGCAGCAUUGGCAUUUAUACAGAGGACAAAAAAAUAAGUAGCACUAGGAGCAAGGGUGAU